UGGUAUUGAUUGGUGCUUGCAUCAUGAUUUACAUUUGAGUGAGUGGCGAACUGGUGAGUAACACGUGGGAAACCUGCCCAGAAGCGGGGGAUAACACCUGGAAACAGAUGCUAAUACCGCAUAACAACUUGGACCGCAUGGUCCGAGUUUGAAAGAUGGCUUCGGCUAUCACUUUUGGAUGGUCCCGCGGCGUAUUAGCUAGAUGGUGGGGUAACGGCUCACCAUGGCAAUGAUACGUAGCCGACCUGAGAGGGUAAUCGGCCACAUUGGGACUGAGACACGGCCCAAACUCCUACGGGAGGCAGCAGUAGGGAAUCUUCCACAAUGGACGAAAGUCUGAUGGAGCAACGCCGCGUGAGUGAAGAAGGGUUUCGGCUCGUAAAACUCUGUUGUUAAAGAAGAACAUAUCUGAGAGUAACUGUUCAGGUAUUGACGGUAUUUAACCAGAAAGCCACGGCUAACUACGUGCCAGCAGCCGCGGUAAUACGUAGGUGGCAAGCGUUGUCCGGAUUUAUUGGGCGUAAAGCGAGCGCAGGCGGUUUUUUAAGUCUGAUGUGAAAGCCUUCGGCUCAACCGAAGAAGUGCAUCGGAAACUGGGAAACUUGAGUGCAGAAGAGGACAGUGGAACUCCAUGUGUAGCGGUGAAAUGCGUAGAUAUAUGGAAGAACACCAGUGGCGAAGGCGGCUGUCUGGUCUGUAACUGACGCUGAGGCUCGAAAGUAUGGGUAGCAAACAGGAUUAGAUACCCUGGUAGUCCAUACCGUAAACGAUGAAUGCUAAGUGUUGGAGGGUUUCCGCCCUUCAGUGCUGCAGCUAACGCAUUAAGCAUUCCGCCUGGGGAGUACGGCCGCAAGGCUGAAACUCAAAGGAAUUGACGGGGGCCCGCACAAGCGGUGGAGCAUGUGGUUUAAUUCGAAGCUACGCGAAGAACCUUACCAGGUCUUGACAUACUAUGCAAAUCUAAGAGAUUAGACGUUCCCUUCGGGGACAUGGAUACAGGUGGUGCAUGGUUGUCGUCAGCUCGUGUCGUGAGAUGUUGGGUUAAGUCCCGCAACGAGCGCAACCCUUAUUAUCAGUUGCCAGCAUUAAGUUGGGCACUCUGGUGAGACUGCCGGUGACAAACCGGAGGAAGGUGGGGAUGACGUCAAAUCAUCAUGCCCCUUAUGACCUGGGCUACACACGUGCUACAAUGGAUGGUACAACGAGUUGCGAACUCGCGAGAGUAAGCUAAUCUCUUAAAGCCAUUCUCAGUUCGGAUUGUAGGCUGCAACUCGCCUACAUGAAGUCGGAAUCGCUAGUAAUCGCGGAUCAGCAUGCCGCGGUGAAUACGUUCCCGGGCCUUGUACACACCGCCCGUCACACCAUGAGAGUUUGUAACACCCA
rnacentral:rRNA from 2 species